GUGAGUUUUGCAGUGGAUCGGAGGCUCAAAAAUGAGAUAGCCCGAACAUUGACCAGAACAGAGCUUUGAAUGUUUCCUCCAACCUGCGAAAGAGACAAAGGAGGAACCGCAUUACGGCGAUAAUGAUCAGAUCGUACUUCUAGAUACUGAAGAGAGUUGCACCCAAAGGUAUCACAGUAAGCGAAUCUCCUUUGCUUUAUAUUGCAAUAUAAGCCUGCGUUUAUCUAUUGGUAUACCCUCCAGCAGUUGGGCUUGUGUUGCUAAUGUCAGUGUUUAUCUCGCAAUAGCAGCCAUCGAUAGCCAGCCUAUAAAUCCUAUUCCCACUCCUAAGCCACUUGAUGAUCAUGAUACGGCGUUUGAUACAUAUUCAUCGAUUUUCCACACUUUUCAUUAAUCAUGACAUCUACACGUAAGCUGAAUCUGAAUUGGUCAGCCGCCCUCAGGCGUAACACACGGCUUUGCAUGUGCGCGACGGCGGUUGGCUAUUAUAUAAAUCACUGGGAACAACUUGUCGCACUUUCACGGUGUUAAAAGUUAUGCAAUCAUAAAUCCUGUAGAUGCAUAGAUGAAAUAGUCAAUAGUCCUU